UUUGGGUCUUAUUUUAUAUGAUAUUCUUAAUUGAAAGUAAAAAAUAAAAUAUUUAUAUGUUGAUGUGUUAGCCUUUGGCAUAAUAUUGGCUAUUUAAAUUACUUUGUUUACGCAUGGUAUUUUAAGGUUUACUGAGAGGUUAGUAUUAAAUUAUCAGAAUUUAACAUUUUGUUGAUUUAAAGUCUAUAGUUGAUAAAGUGUUUUUAAGAUCAAUGAUUAAUAUUUCUCAACACCAGCGGUUAAUUUAACCAAUCAUGUAAAUAUGGAGUUUGUAAUUGUUAAUAGGGGAGAGUAAAUGGAGUGCCAGCAUUCGCGGUUAAUCUUUUUCCUCAAGUCAAUAGGAUUUGUAAAAUAGUUAGAUUUAAGUUUUAAUUUUUAUUCACGUGAGUAUUAUUAGCGGUGAAAUGCCUAAAACUUCAUAGGUUGGCUUAGGUCAAUCUAAUUAACCGGUGAGUUUUUGAGAUUUUUAAAAUCUAGACUAGGAAAGCUGUACGUUGUAAAAACAAGGAUUAGAUACCCUUUUAUUUAGGCUGCAUUAAAGUAAAUUACAGGGAGUACGGACAGUUUGUCUGAAACUUAUUAGGGUUGGCGGUGUUUCUCAUUCAUUUAGGGGAACUUGGCGUUUAAAUCGACAAUCCUCGCAUAUCGUACCUUUAAUUGUCCUUACAUACCACCGACGAUCAACUUGCUUCGUAGAAAUUUUGCUAGUUUCAAACUAAAACUAAUUUUUUAUUGUUAGUGUUCAGUAAUAAGCCAGGUAACGUGUAGGAUUUAGAGGGAUUAGCUGAGUUACAUUAUGAAUUGAGGUGGUAUUAUUUCGGAUCAGUUUACUGUAUUGAUUGUAAUACAUGAAAAUAUAGUCUUUGGAAUAUUCUGUCAAGGUGGACUUGUUAGUAAAUUUUUUUAAGUUAAAUAAAUUUGAAUAGUGUUAAGAAACGUGUACAAAUCGCCCGGCAUCUUUUGUAAUGUUUUUCUUAAUGAAAGUAAGCCGUAACAUAGUAAUUCUAGUAGAAACUGGAGUUGAUGAAA
rnacentral:rRNA from 1 species